UACGAGGGGGGCAAGCGUUGUUCGGAAUUAUUGGGCGUAAAGGGCGCGUAGGCGGCGCCACAAGUCACUUGUGAAAACUCUGGGCUCAACUCAGAGCCUGCAAGCGAAACUGUGGUGCUGGAGUAUGGGAGAGGUGCGUGGAAUUCCCGGUGUAGCGGUGAAAUGCGUAGAUAUCAGGAGGAAUACCGGUGGCGAAAGCGGCUGGCUGGGACCGAUCUGACGCUGAGGCGCGAAAGCAUGGGGAGCAAACAGG
rnacentral:rRNA from 1 species